UAGGAAUUUUAUUUUUUUAAAUAAUUAUUAAAAAUAAAAGAUGGGAGAUCUUUGAAAAAAGAAGAACGCAAAGUAGAAAAAAAAAAAAGAAAAACAAAAAUAUUUCAAUAUCGAUUUAGUUAUACGACAUUCAAUCAAAUUGACAAAUAUUAUGAUUUCAUAUUUACAAACAUCACUUAUACCUUAUAAAUAUAUUGCGAUGUUAUAAUAACGUAACUACGAUGUUUAUCGAGUUUUGCAAAAUUUCUCCCAUUUGAAAUGAAUAUUUACGUAUAAAAAAAAAAAAAAAAAAAAAAAAAAAAAAAAAUUAAAGAAAAAAAGAAAACUUUAUUUCUUAAUCCUUCAUUUCUUAUUAAUUCUCGAAUGUAAUUGUUUUUUAAUCGACGAAAGAAACAAAAAACGAAUCGCAAUGAUCUUUCAAACGAAAUAAAACAGCUGAUUGGUCGACGCAAGUUAGUCGCAAGGAACGUUGGCCAAUAAACGAGCGAUAUCGCAAAUACUCUAGAGAGAAAUUUUAUCAAAUCGUAAAAGACGUACCUUUUUUAACCGUAUAGAAUCGUAUUUUGUCAAUAUUCAAGAUAUUAAUUUGAACGUACACUCGUAUAUAUUUCGUUUAAUUUAUUUCGAUCGUUAAAAACAAGAACUUUAUUUGUAUCGUUAAUGUCGCUCUUUUAUCUUGAAGUCGACUGAUCGCUUUUCGAACUUAAACUAACUGCGACUAAUUUCGCCGGCCGUUUUAUAUUUGUCAUGGCGGUCUUUUCGAGAGAUUUCUAGAAGGGCACAUGCGCGAAUCUAUAUAGAAUAUCAUUCUCAAACAAACUUCCCCAAUGACGGCUUAACUAAAUUAAUCACCCCUGAAUAAUCACGUAAAUAAGUGCAUGCGAUUUAUUUUCUUGUGAAUGAAGAAACAUUUUUUUCCUAAAUGUUUUCACUAAAUAUAUCACGGAAUAUAAUCUUUUUUUUUUUUUAUCGUUUCACUCGUAUCGUCGAUUAACUUCGUUACACAAUUUAAAUAUCAAUCGAUUCGCAUAAUAUUACUUUUGAUUAUUAUUUUCGUAUUGUCACUGUAGCUUUCUUUUUUUCUUUUCUUUUUUUUUUUUGUACGUUCGUCUAAAAAUUUCUCCUUUAAUCACAAUUUUCAAACUAUUACUACGCUAUCACUGAUAAAUUUCUAUUAAAAUUAUAAAAAAUGUUCAAUUGUCAUUACUCUCAUACAUUUGCAUCAAUUUCUAAUAUUUUCAAUGUUAUUAAUAAGAUCGUAUAAUACAUUGAAACACAAGUUAACCUAUAAUCUUCGUGGAUAAUGAGACGCAUCGGGGAAGUAAUUCGUAGGUAAAAAAAAAGUUUAAUAAAAAAUUUAUAAAAAAAAAAAAAAAAAAAAGAGAGGUAUAACACUUAUACGCGAUAAUGAAACACAAAGGUAGAAAGCAAUAUUAGUUUCGUCCCUGGCACGAUUCCUCCGUUCUUCCAUCUAUCGGUCACAACUCGCAUUUGUCACAUCUUUAGAUUUCCCUCACUCAUUUGUCAUAUGAUAUAUAUUUGUAUUAUUCUAUGCAUAUCUUUUGUGAAAUGCAUAGUGACAAAUACAUGUAUCUCAUUCUUUCGUUUCAUACCAAUUUAUUCACGUAGAAGAAGUUUUGGCUCGAUACAAAGAUAUUUACUUUCUAUAUUUUCACGUUAAAUUAUUUUUGCACUAUCUAAUAAUUUUCAAUUGUAUAACACUAGUAAUAAUAAGUAAUUGACAAUGUCAUUGAUUUGUUCAUUUUUUUAUUACUUUUUUUUUUUUUUUGUUUUCUUUUUGAUACUUUUGAAUUUAAUUAUAAAUAUAUUUCAAUAAAAUUACAAGAUUUUAUUUAAUAAUAAAUUAUUGCACUUGUGUUUACAUUUCGGAUCAUUCUAAUUAUACACGCAUAACGAUAAUAAUUUUUUCUAGAACAUUCCAACAGAUCCGUAUAAGAUAGAACAAAAUAUCGUAAAAUGCGUUUCAAUUAUUAUUACAAAAAGAAUCUAUUCAUUUGAAAUUCAAAAUAAAAAUCCAUAAUUGUUAUUAUCCGCCGACCAUUUCUGGAUAAGACCAACGUGAAGUUAGAUACACAUGAUGAUAAUUGUGCAUCAAGCAAUCAUGCAUAUUCAUUGAUCUAUUUAUAUGGAUUAGAAAACAAACCAAUCACGAUCAAUUAUAAGCUAAUGUAUAUACAUCAUACAUACAUACAUAUAUACAUACAUACAUAUAUAUAUAUAUAUACAUAUAUAUAUAUAUAUAUAUAUAUAUAAUUUCUCUCCUGUCUAAUUACCACUGUUCAUAAAUGCUAUAUACAUUUUUUUUUUUUUUAUUAGAAUUAGUGUGUUAAAAUAUACGUAUGCUUUAUUAAAAAACAAAAAAGAGAGAAAAUAUCGCACGAAAUUUAAAUUAUACGAUACAGAUAUAAAAAAAAAGGCUAAUUAUAAAUGAUCAUGCAAACGAAUCUUCUGGAAACGAGUUAUAAGGAAACUCGUUUUACAAAUCUAAUGUAUGCAAGUAGUAAAUUUCAAAGUGCCAACCUUGGCCGCACCUUUUCUUACAACCAAGAAAUUUACCAAAUUUGUAAUAAUCAAUGUGAUAUGAAUCCUUAUCUAAUCGACAAACGUGAAAAUAUUUUGACAUAUACAAAUAGAUAUAACCAAAUCUAAGGUUAACUUCGGGAGAUUUCUAUCGUAUAACAAACGAUCGUACUGUCGUUAUUUUCAUUGCAAUGGAAUCAAAACAGUCAUCGAGGAAAACUUUGAGCUUGGCUAUCGUCCAAAAAUACACGCUCGAAUUAAAACAAAUCUCUACGCGUAUGCGCUCAAAACGCCAUCUCGAGUAUAGAACUAGCGUAUUGUACGAACUUUAACGAAGAUUCUCGACGAUCACCGAAUACAUAACGAGGGAAAAUUUGAUCGAAAUUUUAUCUUUUCUUCUUUUCUUUUCAAUAUGUAAAACCAAUAAAAAAAAUUAUUAUUGUUAA